rnacentral:rRNA from 1 species
GACGUAGGGGGCCAGCGUUGUUCGGAAUUACUGGGUGUAAAGGGUUCGUAGGCGGUGCGGCAAGUUGGGAGUGAAAUCUCUGGGCUUAACCCAGAGGCUGCUUCCAAAACUGCUGUGCUUGAGUGUGGGAGAGGCGCGUGGAAUUGCAGGUGUAGCGGUGAAAUGCGUAGAUAUCUGGAGGAACACCGGUGGCGAAGGCGGCAUCCUGGACCGGCAUUGACGCUGAGGCGCGAAAGCCAGGGGAGCAAACGGG